GUCCCAGAUGAAGCGCCUGUGCUGCGUGUGUUAAGAAUGGGAUUAUUUUUCCCACGACACUACUUUUUAUGAAUGAGAGUUCUUUUGAGCAUCACAGGUAUUGUGUAGAACAAAAGAAGUGCCGUUUCCGCUGGAAAUACUAGCGUAGUAAUUAACAGGAGUACGUAAACAAUAGCGUGUCCCACAAUUAAGCAUUGAUGCGCCUCAAGCGUCGACACGAUCAAUCGCCGGCAAUCUUGCACAAAAACCUCAUUUAAUCUGUUUUUUGUGAUCUUUUGUGAAUCAACAACCCAUCAGAUUUCAGUAAUGGAGUAUCUGUUAGAGUUUCAAGGCGUCUACAAGCCAAGAAAGACUCUAAAUUUACAAGCAUCAAAGCCUGAGUCUCUAACACGUGUUGCUGUUUUAGAGCAGAGAGAAAAGGAAAGGUUGAGAAAAGCUGCAUACAGGGCCUAGUUAAGCCCACAUGAAAAAGCUUGGAUAAACAGAAAACGCAAAGAAAGAAAACAGCAAGCUAAUAGUCCACUUAAUGUCAUCUCAGCAGAGGUUGGUGAAUCACUAGGUACUGGAUUCCAGACUCCAGUGGCAAAAAAAAAAUGGCUGUUUCAAGGGCUUUGAUGAAAUUGCCUAGGUCACCCAAGAAAUAUGCUGCAGUUUUUGAAGGUCUCACACAAAUAUGCUCCCUAAGAAAAAGUAAAGCUGUCCAUGACUUACGCUUUCUGCGCCUACCUGAGAGAAGAAAGCUCAUCCUUCUAAACAACAUUAAAGAAAGUAUCAAAACCUAACUACACUCCACCAGCAAAAAAAAAAGUCAGAUGUCUAGUGCUCGUAGACAAGUACUCUGCAGUAUCCUUAGUAAGUACAACAAACUCAGAGGUUGUGCUACUCAUUUCUAACAUUUGGUCAAGAAGUUUUAUGUCCAAGUGCAAAUCAGAACAAAUUGCAAGAAAAAAAAUGACGUGAUUGCAUUGCACAAAAUGCCUUGGAAACAAUAUUCAUUUUUUACAGUAGAGGGGAUGUCUCAAGAACUGAUCCCUCUCAAUCAUCUGUUAGUGCUCAAACAGGAAAACGUUUCAUGCAAAAGCUACUUAACAUAAGAUGCAGUCUUGCUUAUGUGAGUUGUGUUUGAAGAUUUUUCUUUAUAUAUAUAGAGGGCAUUAAUAAAUUUCUGAUCAAAAAAGGACACAGAGAGCUGACAUUAAUAAAUCUAGCUUCAUCACUUGACUUAACUCUAUGCCCAAGAACUAAUGCCAAUUGUUUUCAUAAGCUGCAGUGCAUUGAAAGAUCAUGUAGCAACUGUGGUGUGGAUUUAAUUAACAAGUAUUGAGCCUUUAAAAAAUUGCACAGAUGAAUUAGCAGAGUGGAGUAUGUUCAGAGUGAUGGUACACUGCAAAAGGUAUCAAAGUGGCGACCAGUAAAUAAAGAAGGAUCUUUUAAUGACCUAGUGAGAGGUAUUACACCUAACACUAUUGCUUACAGAAAUAGAAGCUGUUUCUGCUAUCCAUGCAGAAAUUCAUAUGGCAGUCAGUGCCUGCAUGAUGAAAUAUGUGGCUCUUGGAAGGUGUUCAAACUUCAGAAACAAAAUGUAGUGCAAUCUCAGUCAAAUCUUGAAGACUCUUUGGAUGUCAGUCCCAUAUGCUCAAAUUCAAAGGCCCAAACAAAUUCCUUCACUAAUCAAAAGUACAUUGUAAAUAGCUGUGUGAUUGUCAAGUAUGGGGAAAUAUUCUAUCCAGGUAUAAUUUUUUGCACUGUGUACCUUUUAAUUUCAAUAAACAAGUUCAAAGUAUGUUUUAGAUUGAAGUAUUAACUUUUCAACAUUGCUGGUAAUUUUUUCUAACAGGAGUUGUGAUAGAAGUCCUGGAUGAUCAGCGCAGAAAUAAUUUUUAAAAAAGGCACAGAAAUAAAAGAAAUAUAUUUGUAUAUCCAGAAGUGCAGGACAUACAGUUAGUGUAUGCAGACAUGAUUGUUACUGAAGUGAUGUUGAUACCAAUGGCAAUAGUUUGAGAGUGGAAUGUUUUGAUUUCUGAAUUUGUGAAAUAAAAUUUGUGUACAGUUUUAUGUGUUUUCUUUUCUUUCUUUUUUUUUUUCAAACCUUUUUCUGUGUGUUAAAACUAACAAAAGAUAUAAAAUAUAUAUUUGUCAAUAAUUAAAAAUAAUAAUGAUCAUUCACUUGUGCACAGAUAAGACAAAAAUAUAAACUUAUAAACAUUAUUUUAAAAAAUGGUGUCCCAUGAAGCACCUGCGACAUUUUGUGAAAUUAAAGCAGCAUUUUUACAAAUGGGUACUUUAUGACUAGAAUAGUGAACUUAAUAACAAGUCUAAUGGAUCACUUUAGUGCAAAAAUAAAAUAAUUUCUAUAUUCUCACAGAAUAUCUUUUAAAAAAACUUUAACUUGUAGUGUCACAGGUGCUACGGUGUCCCAAUUUUUGAAUUGAGCUCAAAUCCACUUUUUCUAUGCAAAAGCAUAAAUUUCAGUAUCUAAAGACUAAUAUCAAUAAAGACAGUUAUAUUAUGCUAAAAUACAAUGAAUUUAUCAAUUGGUCAUUGUUAAAUUAUCAAGUGGUGUCCCGGUGAUGCACCUGUGACGCAAAAGGGGGUACCCCUUGAAUAGACACUGCUGUCAAAAUCUACAUCUUGCAAUUCAUUUUCUAUUGAUAAAUUCUUAAAGUGAACUGGUUGAAGAAGUGAAUACAGUUGAAAUGAAACCAAAAACUUCAACUUUAAUUUUUAGCAUAAUGUGACACUUUUUGGCACCAGUACUGGAGAAACACUCAGAUGCCA